GACGAACGCUGGCGGCGUGCUUAACACAUGCAAGUCGAACGGAAAGGCCUGCUUUCCCUUGUGGAUUGCGGGUACUCGAGUGGCGAACGGGUGAGUAACACGUGAGUGAUCUGCCCCCAACUUGGGUAUAAGCCUGGGAAACUGGGUCUAAUUCCCGAUAGGACUGCAGGGUGGUGCCUGUGGUGGAAAACGAUUUUCUAGUGGUUGGGGAUGAGCUCGCGGCCUAUCAGCUUGUUGGUGGGGUAAUGGCCUACCAAGGCGGCGACGGGUAGCCGGCCUGGGAGGGUGGACGGCCACAUUGGGACUGAGAUACGGCCCAGACUCCUGCGGGAGGCAGCAGUGGGGAAUAUUGCACAAUGAGCGGAAGCCUGAUGCAGCGACGCCGCGUGGGGGAUGACGGCCUUCGGGUUGUAAACUCCUUUCGACCGCGAGGAAGCCACCUGGUUGGAAGGGUGGUGACGGUAGUGGUAGAAGAAGCACCGGCUAACUACGUG
rnacentral:rRNA from 1 species